AGCCUGUUUGAACACUUCUGCAUUUUCUGCAUAAUCCUUCACGAUUCUCCUGCCUGCACCGAGCGGUGACCCCGGACUGUUGCUAGGAUUUCUUUGGCAAACACAACUUUCUCGUGCUAAGCCCUGUCAGCCACGGAUUUUUAUUCUGAGGUUUCUUUGUUUCGCGCUUCUGUUCAUGUAGGUCAGGAGUUUUUUCCUGGCUAUUGAUUUACAACCAGUUAUAUGCCCUGCUAGCGUUUGACAUCUCUGUCUUUGUUUUCCUUUGCAGGUAUCACUUCCAAACUUUACCCGCGUGUGUCGAUUGUUUUAAGGUUCUGUGUUGAGUGUCUGACUCCGUCUGAUCUUUUUCACGUUUUUCAGUCCCAGGACAGAGCCAGUGGUGCUGUGGAGGUGAAGAACAGCAUCCUGGGGCUGGAGGUGGAAUCAUGUCCUUGAGCCAAGUUUGUUGCUGUGAUUGCACCAGGGCUGCUGAGUGCCUCUGUGCCUCCAGAGCUGGUGGAGGAGCUGCAGAAAUGAUGCUGUUUUGCCUCGAUGAAGCAUCAGAAGUCCCUGUUGAGGAGCACAGCCCUGACGAUAUGGGGAGCAAGAGAGGAUGUGGGCACAGGAGAAGAUGUCGGAUAGCUGUCCUGAAGUGGUGAGUGACCAAAGGUAAACCCCAAGGAGGAUUUGGGGGCCUGUGGUGGGUC
rnacentral:lncRNA from 1 species